GGAGGAAGGUGGGGAUGACGUCAAGUCCUCAUGGCCCUUAUGACCAGGGCUACACACGUGCUACAAUGGCCGGUACAAAGAGUUGCGAUACCGCGAGGUGGAGCUAAUCUCAUAAAGCCGGUCUCAGUUCGGAUUGGAGUCUGCAACUCGACUCCAUGAAGUUGGAAUCGCUAGUAAUCGCGGAUCAGCACGCCGCGGUGAAUACGUUCCCGGGCCUU
rnacentral:rRNA from 1 species